AGGAGGAGGGUCUGCGGCGCCUGCGCGGAGCCCCUCGAGGGGCAGGGGCUGCUCUGCAGAGUGUGCAAGGUCGCCAGCCACAAGAAAUGCGAGGCCAAGGUGGCCUCUCCCUGCCAAGCGCUGCCCCCUCCUGAGCUGGUAA